GAUGAACGCUGGCGGCGUGCCUAAUACAUGCAAGUCGAGCGAAUGGAUUAAGAGCUUGCUCUUAUGAAGUUAGCGGCGGACGGGUGAGUAACACGUGGGUAACCUGCCCAUAAGACUGGGAUAACUCCGGGAAACCGGGGCUAAUACCGGAUAAUAUUUUGAACUGCAUGGUUCAAAAUUGAAAGGCGGCUUCGGCUGUCACUUAUGGAUUGACCCGCGUCGCAUUAGCUAGUUGGUGAGGUAACGGCUCACCAAGGCAACGAUGCGUAGCCGAACUGAGAGGGUGAUCGGCCACACUGGGACUGAGACACGGCCCAGACUCCUACGGGAGGCAGCAGUAGGGAAUCUUCCGCAAUGGACGAAAGUCUGACGGAGCAACGCCGCGUGAGUGAUGAAGGCUCUCGGGUCGUAAAACUCUGUUGUUAGGGAAGAACAAGUGCUAGUUGAAUAAGCUGGCACCUUGACGGUACCUAACCAGAAAGCCACGGCUAACUACGUGCCAGCCGCCGCGGUAA
rnacentral:rRNA from 1 species